AUUAGAUUAAAAGCCAAUGCCCUUCUGGGCUCACUGGUGAUUCAUGAUAAUUUCUCGGAUCGCAUGGCCUUGUGCCGGCGAUGGUUCAUUCAAACUUCUUCCCUAUCAACUUUCGAUGCGAGGGUCUUGUCUUCGCAUGGUUGCAACGGGUAACGGAGGGUUAGGGCUUGACCCCGGAGAAGGAGCCUGAGAGACGGCUCCUACAUCCAAGGAAGGCAGCAGGCGCGCAAAUUGCCCAAUCCCGACACGGGGAGGCAGGGACGAUAAAUACUGAUACAGGGCUCUUUUGGGUCUUGUAAUCGGAAUGAGUACAAUUUAAAUCCCUUAACGAGGAACAAUUGGAGGGCAAGUCUGGUGCCAGCAGCCGCGGUAAUCCCAGCUCCAAUAGCGUAUAUUAAAGUUGUUGCGGUUAAAAAGCUCGUAGUUGAACCUUGGGCCUGGCUGGCUGGUCUCCCUCACCGGAUGUACUGGUCCGGCCGGGCCUUUCCUCUGUGGAACCUCAUGCCCUUCACUGGG
rnacentral:rRNA from 1 species